CAAAUAUUAACGAUGCUAUUUGGUUAGACGUCAAUUUUGUCAACAGCUUAAGGACGAUAUAUCCUUCCAUUGAUUCAGCUCUGCCCAGUAUUUUAGUGUUCUGCAAAUCCAUCUCAAUGAGCGUACCCGCAAAAUUACCAUCCCCCACCUGAUUGCUCUGUCGAAGAUGAGUACAUUAACGACUCUACAAUGGCAAGGCGAACUGUUAAUGGCUGUUAAUUUUCCAUGAUACGAGGAACCAUCGCCUCUAUUGACAGGAGUCGAUAGAGUUCAUCAGUGGAGAUUGGGGCUUCCACUUCCGACUUUGAUUAGGAUGUUGGGGAUGGUUAGGGGCAAAUUUGUUUUGAAUGUGUUGAGUAAAUGUGAAAAGGAUUUAGGGAAGCAUUUUGGAG